ACGCACUAACUUGCACAGCAUUGAAUGGAAAAGGCUUUGUCCAUGACCAGUUGAGGGGCAUCAAGAACAUGCAGAUGGCCUAAACCUGUGUCAGCCUGGACAGACUGCAGUUCUGCUACUCCAUGCCAAGGCUUUUGUAUGGAUGUCUUGACUGCUACUGUGUUCUCUAAAGGUAUUACUGGAGCAAAACAACAGCACCCGUUACAGUGAAAUUUGUAUUCAAAAAAAUAGUGAUACAUGUGUAGCAGGUCCAGUACAUUUGUCAUAAAGGUUAAAUCACAGUAAGUACUGUAAAAAUAACUUGUUUGCCUCUGCCAAAACAGGUCAUGGUGUGUGCUUACUGCUCGUAGUAAACACACACGCUGAUCUGAUGCGGGAGAGAUAUAUGCAAACACAUUUGUAUUUACUG
ensembl:processed_transcript